UUAAAUGAAGUUGACGGGGCCCGCACAAGCGGUGGAGCAUGUGGUUUAAUUCGAAGCAACGCGAAGAACCUUACCAGGUCUUGACAUCCCCUGACAACCCGAGAGAUCGGCGUUCCCCGUUCGGGGGACAGGGUGGACAGGUGGUGCAUGGUUGUCGUCAGCUCGUGUCGUGAGAUGUUGGGUUAAGUCCCGCAACGAGCGCAACCCUUGUCAUUAGUUGCUACGAAAGGGCACUCUAAUGAGACUGCCGGUGACAAACCGGAGGAAGGUGGGGAUGACGUCAAGUCCUCAUGGCCCUUAUAGGUGGGGCUACACACGUCAUACAAUGGCUGGUACAAAGGGUUGCCAACCCGCGAGGGGGAGCCAAUCCCAUAAAGCCAGUCGUAGUCCGGAUCGCAGUCUGCAACUCGACUGCGUGAAGUCGGAAUCGCUAGUAAUCGUGGAUCAGCAUGUCACGGUGAAUACGUUCCCGGGUCUU
rnacentral:rRNA from 1 species